UACGUAGGGCGCAAGCGUUUGUCCGGAAUUAUUGGGCGUAAAGAGCUCGUAGGCGGUGUGUCGCGUCGGAUGUGAAAGCCCGGGGCUUAACCCCGGGUCUGCAUUCGAUACGGGCAGACUGGAGUGUGGUAGGGGAGAUCGGAAUUCCUGGUGUAGCGGUGAAAUGCGCAGAUAUCAGGAGGAACACCGGUGGCGAAGGCGGAUCUCUGGGCCAUUACUGACGCUGAGGAGCGAAAGCGUGGGGAGCGAACAGG
rnacentral:rRNA from 1 species